UACGGGGGGGGCAAGCGUUGUUCGGAAUUACUGGGCGUAAAGGGUGCGUAGGCGGUUCGCUAAGUUGGAUGUGAAACUAUGGGCUACCAAUCCAUAGCCUGCAUCCAAUACUGACGACUAGAGUUCUGGAGGGGAGCGGAAUUCCUGGUGUAGCGGUGAAAUGCGUAGAUAUCAGGAGGACACCGGUGGCGAAGGCGGCUCCUGGACAG
rnacentral:rRNA from 1 species